rnacentral:rRNA from 1 species
CAGUAGCCGCGGUAAUACGUAGGGUGCGAGCGUUAAUCGGAAUUACUGGGCGUAAAGCGCGCGUAGGUGGUUUGUUAAGUUGGAUGUGAAAUCCCCGGGCUCAACCUGGGAACUGCAUCCAAAACUGGCAGGCUAGAGUAGGGCAGAGGGUGGUGGAAUUUCCUGUGUAGCGGUGAAAUGCGUAGAUAUAGGAAGGAACACCAGUGGCGAAGGCGACCACCUGGGCUCAUACUGACACUGAGGUGCGAAAGCGUGGGGAGCAAACAGGAUUAGAUACCCCUGUAGUCCCUGUCUCUUAUAC